AGUUCUUCUAUCUCCUUCAUCUUCUUCUCUCUAAUUGCUUCCUUUCUGAUACUAACAUUACAUUGCAGAUUCUACACUUGAAGUUCUGUUCAAUUGACAACGAUCAGCAAGUUAGCAGAUGAUUCAAACUUGAUCUUAUGGAGAUUGAUUGAGAUGUUUCGCUAAUAGAAUCGUCUUCUUCAAUGGUAAAAACCUCAAGUAAACAUUAUUAGGUUUUUAUUUCAAUUCAGAGAAACUACUUUUGGAUAUCCGGAUCUGGGUUCUGGGUUCUGGUUAGGGCUCCCAUUUCUUCUUCCCUGUUUUCAAUCUGUUCUCUUUCACAGUGGGGAAUCGUCGUUUCUCUUAUGUGUGCUACACAGUCAACAACUGCACUCCUGUCUCUUGAUUCUUGAACAGGUUCUUUCUUUUCUGUGUAACUUCUGUUCGGGAGGCAAUGGUGGUUACUCCUUGGUAGUUCAAUUGAAUCUGUAACUGCUUAUUGGGAGAGGAAUACAGUUAGUCAUGAUCAACAAAGAUGGAGAAAUCAAUUAAGCAGUCGGGUUUGCAAACUAAGUCAUAUUUGACAAACUUACGUCCCAUAGACAAGUUGUUGGUUCAGUGAUGUUACCUGAGAAAGAUAUUAUCAUUUCGGUUGAUAAAGAAUCGAAACAUGAGGUUGGACGAAUCAGGCAUAAAGAAGUUCCCACGCGAAAAAAAUUCUUAUCUUCUAAAGCUCAAAACAAUCAAACAUCAGUUUAUAGUUCCAAGAAGAUUGACAAACCAGAAGAUGGAGAUGUUGAAUCUCAAAAAGUGAAAGAAAGAAAACGAAGGAGAAGGAGAAGGAGAAAGAAACAUAAUUCUAAUUCAGAGGCAGAUGAAUCUUUCCGGUUGCAGAAAAGGACGAGGUACCUGUUAAUAAAAAUGAAGCUGGAGCAAAACCUCAUUGAUGCUUAUUCUGGGGAAGGUUGGAAAGGUCAGAGUCGCGAAAAGAUCAAGCCAAACAGGGAGCUUCAAAGAGCUAGCAAGCAGAUUUUGAAAUGCAAACUUGGAAUCAGAGAAGCAAUACGUCAGUUACAUUUGCUCAGUGCUGUAGGUUCUAUUGAGGAUUCUGCAAUUGCCCCAGAUGGAUCUGUUCACCAUGAAAACAUAAUCUGUGCAAAGUGCAAAUUAAGAGAAGCAUUUCCAGAUAACGAUAUUAUACUCUGUGAUGGGACCUGCAAUUGUGGUUUUCACCAAAAAUGCCUUCAGCCUCCAUUGUUGACUGAAAAUAUUCCACCCGGAGAUCAAGGAUGGUUUUGUAGGCUUUGUGAAUGUAAGAUGGAGAUCCUAGAAACAGUGAAUGCUCACCUUGGAACAAGAUUCCCUCUGGAUAGUGCUUGGCAGGAUAUUUUCAAGGAAGAAGCUUCUUUAUCUGAAGGUGGAGAUGCUUUGCAAAAUUCAGAACAAGAAUGGCCUUCUGAUGAUCCUGAGGAUGAUGACUAUGAUCCUGAAAAAAUAGCAAGCAGCGGAAGUUGUAGCAGACUGGGCUCUGAAGCAGGUGAUUCUGAUGAUGGAAACAGUUUUUGUAGUUUAGGUUCAUUCCAAGGCAAAGCCCUUGUUGAAUCAGAAAGGGAAACAGAGAGAAGCAACAGAAGUCAGAAGAUGUUUGAUUCUGUUAUUCACGAAGAUUCAGAUCAAACAGCUGUAGGUGAUCUUGUAACUGGCCCUCGACAACGAAGAGCUGUUGACUAUAAGAAGUUAUACGAUGAAAUGUUUGGGAAGGAUGCUCCCAUCAAUGACAUGAUGAGUGAAGAUGAGGACUGGGGCCCUACUAAGAAAAUUCGUAGAGAAAAGGAGUCGGAUGCAGCUAAUACUCUUGUGACUCUCUCAGGAAGCAACAGAAAGCUUCCCAUUUUGAAUUCUGAAGAUGGAAAAGAAAUAUGUACUGAAGAAAAAGCUAGACGGUCAUUUCUCAGGAUCCCACCUGAUGCGGUUCAGAAACUUCGCAUGGUGUUUGCUGAUAAUGAACUUCCGUCCAAAGCUGUUAAGGAAGUCCUUUCCAAGCAACUAGGCCUUGAAUCUGAGAAGGUAAAUAAAUGGUUCAAGAAUGCACGAUACAUGGCACUUAAAUCUAGAAAUUGUGACCAAACCGACGAAUUACAGAAAAGUAAUCCUGAAUUGAAUGAGGACUACAGAUGCCGAACUGAAGAAGAAGACAAAACUAACCAUCCAUUGGUCAUUUGUGAUAUUCCAUCUGCAACUGCCGUCCAUUCCAUUUGCAUUCACUCCCCGACUGACUCUCCGAAGAGUAAGGGUGAUAAAAAUAGUUCAAUGUCAAUAACUGAUGAAACCAAGGUUGACGUAAACAUUGGCAAUGAUGUUAGUUUGAAACCUUUGAAAUCAUUCUCGAAAGGGAAGAAGAAAAUAGACACUAACGUUAAUUGCAAAGAACAGGAGGAUGCUGAAGCUCAGCUGGAGAGGGUAUGUAAAAUGAAAGGCAAAGUGGAGGCAUUAGAGCAGGUUUUAUUUGGAAUGCCAUAUCUUAUUACUUCAGACAAAGCUCAAGUAUCGAAGGAAAAACAACACAAUAUUAUCUACUUGCCUGUAACUGAGCUAAAGGAGAAGGAUUGAUCUCUUCAAACAUCUCUUGCCAAUUCUGAAUUGAAGGGGUCAUGCUAGCCACCCCGGGAAUAAAUUCGGGUCAGAAAAAGAAAUAAUUAGCAUGAUGUUGAUCGGGAUGACAUUCCAUUUGAAAACAUAGUACAUCUGAAAUUUUAAUCCGGCUUAGAUCCAGAUACGCCUUUCAAAAGGUGUCGUUCGAUUGGGUCUGGUUAGUCUAAGGUGUAUAACAAUCAAUCAAUCAAUGUAUCAUUGGUUUGUAAGAGUUUGAAAGAUGCCCUAUGUAUGGUGUAUUGAGUUAGCCACCCCUUUUCAUAUCUCAAUGUGUAUUUUACAAUAGACACUUUACAUAAAAUGCAGACUAUAUUACAAUAAAUAGUUUUGAACA